rnacentral:rRNA from 1 species
AACGAACGCUGGCGGCAUGCCUAACACAUGCAAGUCGAACGAGACCUUCGGGUCUAGUGGCGCACGGGUGCGUAACGCGUGGGAACCUGCCCUUAGGUUCGGAAUAACUCCCCGAAAGGGGUGCUAAUACCGGAUAAUGUCUUCGGACCAAAGAUUUAUCGCCUUUGGAUGGGCCCGCGUUGGAUUAGCUAGUUGGUAGGGUAAAAGCCUACCAAGGCGACGAUCCAUAGCUGGUCUGAGAGGAGGAUCAGCCACACUGGGACUGAGACACGGCCCAGACACCUACGGGAGGCAGCAGUGGGGAAUAUUGGACAAUGGGCGAAAGCCUGAUCCAGCAAUGCCGCGUGAGUGAUGAAGGCCUUAGGGUUGUAAAGCUCUUUUACCCGGGAUGAUAAUGACAGUACCGGGAGAAUAAGCUCCGGCUAACUCCGUG